GCGCUUCAUAACCACAAACUUGUUAAUUCAGUUUUUUUCCAACCCAUAUGUUAAAGCAACCAAAGCUGAUGGUAAUCAAAUUAGCAUACUGAAUUACGAGUCAUUUCACAAUAUAGAAAGGCUAACUAAUUUUUCAUUUCUCUAGGAAAGAUAUUAUGUUGAGUAUACCUCUAUGACUGCGAAAGAUCAUUUUUAAGAACGAGAUGCAGAAAAUGUAGAGCUCAAUGAAGAUGGUUUACAAGGUCCACCAAAGAUCCAUAAUAUAUUAACAGGGAUGCCGCAUGAAAACAAGAUCACUAAGGCAUAUUCACGGCUUUUACUCAGUUAUGACAUUGCGCCUAUUUAUUUAGCAUGAACUGAACUGCGCUUCAGCUGUAGGAAGCACACAAAAAAUGUAUGCUAAAGAACAUCAGGGUUGUGUACCAAGUUAGGAGAUUACUAAGCAGUAAUGUCCUGAAAAUAUUGGCAAAGAGAGCUAUGUCAAUUCAUCUUUAGGACGUCGGUGCAUAACUGUCAUAGAUGCUUUGGGUGAUGUUAUUGCUUGGCCUAGGUUCUGUAUCAAAAAGAAGAAAUCGAGCUCAAACCAGACAAAUAAUAACCUGGUAAAAUCUGGAGCUAAAUAGGACUGAAAUGAAUGAAGAUGGAGAGAGGCAAAGCAUUUGCUUCCGCCUCGAUAAAUCAAUGGAGGGAUAUUUGCUGUCAUUUUUGAGAGAUAAUUGUUAUAUAGGAUUUUUAUGAUUUUUCUGUUCAGGAUCUUUCCCGAUGUAUCUGUGAAUUAUUAAUAUGAAUAUUCUAUUCAGUUUUGAAUUUCUUUUUGUAUUAAUGAA